rnacentral:rRNA from 1 species
UACAGAGGGGGCAAGCGUUAUUCGGAAUUAUUGGGCGUAAAGGGCGCGUAGGCGGCCACCGCAAGUCGACUGUGAAAUCUCCGGGCUUAACCCGGAAAGGUCAGCCGAUACUGCGGGGCUAGAGUGCAGAAGGGGCAACUGGAAUUCUCGGUGUAGCGGUGAAAUGCGUAGAUAUCGAGAGGAACACCUGCGGCGAAGGCGGGUUGCUGGGCUGACACUGACGCUGAUGCGCGAAAGCUAGGGGAGCGAACGGG